rnacentral:rRNA from 1 species
UUGAGACUUAACUUAAUGCCAGAUAAUACGAACAAUAGUUUAAAAUCCAAAGAAAUUGGCGGUAUCAUAUAUAAUCAGGGGAACCUGUCUCUUAAUUCGAUAAUCCACGAAACCUAAACCUAAUUUAGAAUAUUCAGCCUGUGUACUGCUGUCGCCAGUUAACCUCUAAAAGAAAGUUAACAUAAAAUAUAAUAAAUUAUAUUGACGUCAAGUCAAAGUGCAGCCAAUAAUUAGGAGAACGAUGGGUUACAACCAUAACACUGAUAACGAAUAAAACCAAUAAUUAGUUUUUAAAGGUGGACUUGAGAGUAAUAAUACAAAUAACAUUAUUAACUAUGAUCUAUGAUAUGUACACAUCGCCCGUCACUCUCUUCUCAAGAUG